UACGUAGGGCGCAAGCGUUAUCCGGAAUUAUUGGGCGUAAAGGGCGCGUAGGCGGCCUUUCAAGUGACGGGUGAAAGCCCUCGGCUUAACCGAGGAACUGCCUGUCAGACUGGAAGGCUUGAGACCGGGAGAGGUGAGUGGAAUUCCCAGUGUAGCGGUGAAAUGCGUAGAUAUUGGGAGGAACACCAGUGGCGAAGGCGGCUCACUGGACCGGUACUGACGCUGAGGCGCGAAAGCGUGGGGAGCAAACAGG
rnacentral:rRNA from 1 species